AUGUCCACGACAUAAUAGAGAUGAACAUGAUCUAAGUUGGAAACAGAUGCUCAAGUACUUAAGAGAGACAACUGUCCAGCAGGACACGUGCUGCCAGCGCUUGUUUUCCUGCAGAAGAUCAAGUGUGCUUAGAAACAGAGGCAUUAAAGGGGACAAGGAAGACAUCGAUGUUGAAAAAGGAGAAUCGUCAGUGAUUUUUAUUUAGUCUGAUUUCAUUAGUGUCUUCAAGUUGAAAAACAAUAUAAUUUAUAAUAGAUUGUAACAAUAGAAAAAUACAAUGUCAAUAAGUGUAUUAACUCUGAUGUAACUGUAUCAAUUUUUGACUGUCAAACCGACCAUGAAUGAUUUCUUUCAACUUUUUCUACUUGUUACAGUAAAAUUUGGACGUGAUUUAAUGUAGUCAAUGGUUUCUUU